GCACUGCUGCCGAGUCUAAAACAGGACGAAACAGCUGUGCAGUGC
rnacentral:hammerhead_ribozyme from 1 species